rnacentral:rRNA from 1 species
GAUGAACGCUGGCGGCGUGCCUAACACAUGCAAGUCGAACGGACGAGAAGGUGCUUGCACCUUCAAGUUAGUGGCGGACGGGUGAGUAACGCGUGAGCAGCCUGCCUCAAAGAGGGGGAUAACGUCUGGAAACGGACGCUAAUACCGCAUGACGUAUCCGGUAGGCAUCUAUUGAAUACCAAAGGAGCAAUCCGCUUUGAGAUGGGCUCGCGUCUGAUUAGCUAGUUGGUGGGUAAAGGCCUACCAAGGCGACGAUCAGUAGCCGGACUGAGAGGUUGAUCGGCCACAUUGGGACUGAGACACGGCCCAGACUCCUACGGGAGGCAGCAGUGGGGGAUAUUGCACAAUGGGGGAAACCCUGA